UACGUAGGGGGCAAGCGUUGUCCGGAUUUAUUGGGCGUAAAGAGCGUGUAGGCGGCCAGGUAGGUCCGUUGUGAAAACUCGAGGCUCAACCUCGAGACGUCGGCGGAAACCCUCUGGCUAGAGUCCGGAAGAGGAGAGUGGAAUUCCUGGUGUAGCGGUGGAAAUGCGCAGAUAUCAGGAAGAACACCCGCGGCGAAGGCGGCUCUCUGG
rnacentral:rRNA from 1 species